AGAGCGAACGCUGGCGGCAGGCUUAACACAUGCAAGUCGAGCGGGCGUAGCAAUACGUCAGCGGCAGACGGGUGAGUAACGCGUGGGAACGUACCUUUGGUUCGGAACAACACAGGGAAACUUGUGCUAAUACCGGAUAAGCCCUUACGGGGAAAGAUUUAUCGCCGAAAGAUCGGCCCGCGUCUGAUUAGCUAGUUGGUGAGGUAAUGGCUCACCAAGGCGACGAUCAGUAGCUGGUCUGAGAGGAUGAUCAGCCACAUUGGGACUGAGACACGGCCCAAACUCCUACGGGAGGCAGCAGUGGGGAAUAUUGGACAAUGGGCGCAAGCCUGAUCCAGCCAUGCCGCGUGAGUGAUGAAGGCCCUAGGGUUGUAAAGCUCUUUUGUGCGGGAAGAUAAUGACGGUACCGCAAGAAUAAGCCCGGCUAACUUCGUGCCAGCAGCCGC
rnacentral:rRNA from 1 species